CGAUCAAACCAGGAUGAAUCACUUUGUGAAAAGCUUGAUUUGGAUACAUAAAAUGGUGGAGAAUCACCAGAAGUUGAAUAAAUCUCAUAGGAGUUGGCAUGAAGAAGUUAUCCCACUUUCAAAUCAGGUGAUUCCAGUUUCCCAGUUUGGGAAUAGCACAUCUUCUUCGUCGUUCCAAUCAAACCAGGAUGAAUCACUUUGUGAAAAGCUUGAUUUGGAUACAUAAUGUUGUGGAGAAUCACCAGGAAGUUGAAUAAAUCUCAUAGGAGUUGGCAUGAAGAAGUUAUCCCACUUUCAAAUCAGGUGAUUCCAGUUUCCCAAUUUGGGAAUAGCACAACUUCUUCGUCGUUCCAAUCAAACCAAGAUGAAUCACUUUGUAAGAAGCUUGAUUUGGAUACAUAAUGUUGUGGAGAAUCACCAGGAAGUUGAAUAAAUCUCAUAGGAGUUGGCAAGAAGAAGUUAUCCCACUUUCAAAUCAGGUGAUUCCAGUUUCCCAGUUUGGGAAUAGCACAGCUUCUUCGUCGUUCCAAUCAAACCAGGAUGAAUCACUUUGUAAGAAGCUUGAUUUGGAUACAUAAAGUGGUGGAGAAUCACCAGGAAGUUGAAUAAAUCUCAUAGGAGUUGGGAUGAAGAGUUAUCCCACUUUCAAAUCAGGGUAUUCCAGUUUCCCAGUUUGGGAAUAGUACAGCUUCUUCGUCGUUCUAAUCAAACCAGGAUGAAUCACUUUGUAAGAAGCUUGAUUUAGAUACAUAAAGUGGUGGAGAAUCACCAGCAAGCUGAAUAAAUCUCAUAGGAGUUGGCAUGAAGAAGUUAUCCCACUUUCAAAUCAGGUGAUUCCAGUUUCCCCGUUUGGGAAUAGCAAAGCUUCUUCGUCGUUCCAAUCAAACCAGGAUGAAUCACUUUGUAAGAAGCUUGAUUUGGAUACAUAAAGUGGUGGAGAAUCACCAGGAAGUUGAAUAAAUCUCAUAGGUAUACACUUUUGUGUAUUAGAGCAUGAUUCAACCAAACAGGGAUAAUCAGAUGAAGAGAUUAAAGAGAUUAAGAGAUUAGUGAGAGAAUAAAGAGAGAGACUCAAAACUCCAUUAGAUUAAUUAAUGAGAGAGUUUACAACAUAUUUAGAGUAGGGAUACAUAGAAACGUCCAGGUUCAGUCUAGCUAGGAUCAGAAGCAUGUGUAGUCAAAGAUGCUUCAUUCAAACUAGCCAAUAAGGUUCCUCACAUGCUUGGGUAUCUUGCUUUAUCUUUCCAGCUGGUGCCAGCCUGUCUAAAGCUCUCUAGUCUUGACCAGACCUUAUCCAAACUCCUCCUUGCUUAUCCAGACUCCUCCUGGCGUGUUUCACUCUCCAAAUGUAUGCAAGGUAACUUUCCAAGUCUUUUAACUCAGUUACCACAGUAACAAUAAAUUUACUGUGGUAAAUCUCCAAAGUUACUGCCUGCUCCAAAUCCCUUCCUCUAUCCAUGUAUCAACUCUUCAUCUCCUUAUCUCAACACUCCCCCUCAAGCUUGACCAUGUAGAACAAGUCAAGCUUGGAAACCAUGAAGACCUCCCUCAUUAAAAACCUCACCACGGAAAACCCAAUGGGAUAAAACCUUGAUGAGGGAAAAAGAGUGGAGACUCCAUGGUUAAGGGGCUCAGCUCAUAGGAGUAAGAUCAAUGAGUCCAAGUCUUGAUAGUAUGGACUCCAUUGUCUUUACUCUCGCUGCCUUAGUAAACACAUCUGCAAGCUGAUCUUCACUUCUUGUAUAACAUGGCAAUAUCACUCCAAGUAUAAUCAUCUGUCUCACCUUGUGGCAAUCAACUUCUAUAUGCUUCGUCCUCUCAUGAAAGACUGAGUUAGAAGCAAUGUGGAUAGCUGCUUGAUUGUCACAAUGCAUUGUCAUAGGAGUGCUUUGCUCAAUCUCCAAAUGCUUCAAGAUCCCCUUAAUCCACACCAACUCGUUUGUCAGCUUCAACAUGGCUCUAUACUCAGCUUCAGCACUUGAACAGGAGAUAACCUUCUGCUUCUUACUCUUCCAAGUGACCAAGUUCCCUCCAAUGAAUGUACAAUACCCUGUAGUUGAUCUUCUGUCCACUGUAUCUCCUGCCCAAUCAGCAUCACAAUAUCCAACCACUUCUGUACUGCCAUUACAACCCAUCCAAACUCCUUGACCAGACGUGCCACUCAAAUACCUCAGUAUCCUAUCAACCAUCUUCCAAUGAUGAACCUUUGGUGCCUGCAUAUGCUGGCUCACCUGAUUCACUGCAAAGCAUAUAUCAGGUCUUGUAAUCGUCAAGUAGAUCAGCUUUCCAACCAUCCUCCUAUACAGCUUAGCAUCCUCAAACACUUUGUUCUCUUCAACCUCCCCCUCACGCAAGACCUUAUACCCCUCCUCAAGAGGUGUCUUAGCUAUCUUUCCUCCAAGUACAUCAGUUUCCUUCAGCAUGUCCAUGGUAUACUUUCUUUGAGACAUGAACAAACCCUCCUUUGAUCUGCAUAUCUCAAUACCCAAGAAAUACUUCAUCUCUCCCAAGUCUUUGAUAUCAAAAACUGACCUGAGAAACUCUUUAGUGGCUUUAAUCCCAGCCUUAUCACUUCCUGUGAUAAUCAAAUCAUCCACAUACACUAGAAUCACAAUGAUCCCUGAUGGUCCGACCAGUGUGAAGAGUGUGUGAUCUAGUUCAGACUUCCUGAACCCUCUCCCAUUGAGUGUUGUACUCAGCUUCCUGUACCAGGCUCUAGGAGAUUGCUUUAACCCAUAUAUAGCUUUCUUCAAUCUCAAAACGUUUCCUGGCUUCACUAGAUGCUCAAGACCAGGAGGAGGAAGCAUAUAUACCUCAUCUUCUAGCUCACCUUGCAAGAAAGCAUUCUUCACAUCCAUCUGCCACAAAUCCCACUCCAAGUUUGUUGCAAUGGAUAACACAAUUCGAACUGUGUGAAGCUUGGCCACUGGUGCAAAAGUAUCAAUGUAAUCUUCUCCAUAAGUCUGUGUAAAUCCUCUUGCAACCAGCCUGGUCUUGUGCCUGUCUAUCUCCCCAUUUGCAAGAUAUUUGAUGGUGAAAAUCCACUUGCUUGAAACUGCCUUCUUUCCUCUAGGUAACUCACUUUCAUACCAAGUGUCAUUCCUGAUCAUUGCAUCCCUUUCAUCUCCUACUGAAUCUCUCCACACGUUGUGCUUCAUAGCUUCUUCAUAAGAUCUUGGUAUCUCAUUCUCAUCCAAGUUACUCAUAAACACCAUGUGCUCUUCUGGAUAUUCUGCAAAGGAACACAUGGCUUGAGAGGGAUGCUCCACAGCCUGGGCAUUGUAGUACACUCUCGUGUUUACCCAGUUGGAAGGAUCCCUCCUUAUCCUUGUGCUCCUCCGCAAGGUCUCAACCUGUUCUUGAGCCUGAACAUUCUCUUGUGCUUCCUCUCUUAAACCAGAAGGUUCUCCCUGCUCAUUUCCACCUGACUGAGCUUCACUCUCUUCUGUACCAGUAGGCUCUCCUUGCUUAUCUCCACUAGACUGAGCAACAUUCUCUACUUCCUGUGUCUCCUCCUGAUCAUGCUGACCUGAAUCCUCUUGGUUAUGCUCCUGCUCCCCUGAUUCAGAUCCAUUCCCCCUCUCAUGAUCAAGAGGGGUUGUUCCACCAGCUUCUCCAGCUUGAUUAGAAGGUCCUGUUCUUCCUGGUCCCUGAUCUUGGGAUAAUCCUAUCCCUAGCCUCUCCAACAACACUCUCAAUGUUGUUGCCUUCUCUGAUGGAACUUGGGACAGAUCCUCUAGGUCUUCCCAUUUCUUCUCCUUAUAAUACCCUGUAGACUCAACAAACUUCACUUCUCUAGAUACCAUAACCUUCCUAGUUAUUGGAUCAUAACAUUUGUAGCCUUUCUGAGUGAUUGAGUACCCAAUGAACAUAGCUUUAGUACUCUUUGCUUCUAGCUUGUUCCUUCUUUCUCCGGGGAUCAUCACAUAACAUAAGCACCCAAAGACUCUCAAAUGAUCAAUGUGUGGCUUGGUCUUGUUCAAUACUUCAAAGGGAGACAGUUUCUUCAAGACACGGGUUGGCACUCUAUUGAUGAGAUAGCAAGCGGUCUGAACAGCAUCACUCCAAAACCUUUUAGGGACAUUCAUGUGGAACAUUAUUGAUCUCGCAACCUCCAUCAAAUGUCUGUUCUUCCUCUCAGCCACCCCAUUUUGUUGUGGUGUGUAAGGACAGCUAGUUUGUUUCACAAUCCCAUGCUUUGCAAGAUGACUCUUGAAAGCAUUGCUAGUGUAUUCUCCUCCAUUAUCAGACCUCAGAAUCUUUACAGUGGCAUUGUACUGGUUAGUAACAUAUGAUUGGAAGUUCAUGAAGGCUUCUAGGACUCUGUCUUUGGAGGGAAUCAUGGUGAUCCAUGUGUACUUUGACUUCUCAUCAAUGAAUGUCACAAAGUACUUAUGGCUGUCUCUAGACAUACAGGGAGCUGUCCACACGUCUGAAUGCACCAGAUCAAAGCAAUUCUCAUAUCUGGUUUCUGAUGUUGGGAAGACAGUCCUACAGUGCUUUCCAAGUAUACAAGCUUCACACUCCAAGUGAUUGAACGCCAUACUAGGUAAAAUCAGUUCAAUUGCCUUGGCAUGAGGAUUUCCCAGCCUUGCAUGCCAUGUGAGAUUAUCACACCUAUCCGUUGUGCUGCUUAAACACACAGACCCCACAGGACUAGACGCCUCAGUUGUUUGGAGAUGAUAGAGCUGAUGCUUGCUGUCUCCUCUGCCAAUCACCCUUCCAGUCUUCAAAUCCUGGAACUCAACUUCUUUUGGUCUGAAAACCACUUGACAAUCCAAAUCAACUGUAGCCUUCUUAACUGAGAUUAGAUUGGAUGUAAACUGAGGUAGGUAGAAGGCAGUGGAGUUCUUCUCAAACAGCUUGAGGUUUCCCACUCCUUCUAUUGGGAUCCUGGUACCAUUGGCUAUCACUACACUCCAUGUUGCUGCUGUAACCUCACUUAUUAGGCUCUUGUCACUGAUCAUAUGGUGUGUUGCUCCAGAGUCAAUGAUGAUGGGUUUAGAUGUGGAUGCUUUGGCAGGAGCACCCAGACUCCGGGUCGUAGCCAAAGCAUACACAUGCUUAAUAAACUCAUCCCAUUCCUUUCUUGUCACACACUCAUCUGCCCUCUUGGUAUCCAUUCCUCUCAUAUCCGCACUGUCUCCUACUGUUUCUCCCAUGUAUGCUGAGUAGGAGCAUUCUCCCAACACCAUCAGUUGCUGAAUCUCCUUGAUCACUUCCAGUUCCACUUCAAGUUGUCUCCUCUUCAUCCUAGUCUUUCUUCCUCGGAUCCAUAUCUUGGACAAUCUCCUCAGGCUUGCUCUCUUACACUUUGUACCAUUCCCCCUCUUGAUCCGCUUCUUGUUCUUCUCAUGAACAUCAUAAGCUGAUUGAAUCAAGUCACACAACCCAUCCACAUCUGCUUGCUCUUCACCUUUGAUCACUUGCAUAAUCAGCUGACCAUAUGAUGAGUUUGAGCUGACUAGAACACUCAAGACUACAUCUUGCUCCAUCCUCUUUUGUAUCAUCUCCGGGUCUGAUGCCCUUGUUCUCAAGACACUCAACUCCUUCCACAGGUAUUUCAGCUUUCCCACAAGCUGAUGAAGUUCUUCUGCUCCUCUUUUAAGACUGCUGCGAGUUCCCUUGACCUCACAGCCCUUCUUCAGACCAGAUAUACUCCCACAAACUGCUCCAAUCUCACAUCUUGUGUGAUUUCCUUGAACAGCUCUUUCUUCAGACCUCAGGCUCCACGCCUGACCUUCAUUUGCAGUCAUUUCUUGUAAAGGCUUCUCCUUUCCAUGACUGCUCCAUAACCCACAGCUUUCCAAAGCUCUUUUGGCCCACCUUGACCACUCGCCAUGCCUCUCCUCUUCAGUCUUCACAGUUAACUCAGGUCUGUGUUCCAUUUCCAUGUUGAGAUGAUUUGGAUUCACCAGAAACACUCACGCCACCAAGAUAAUGAAACCCAGAAGUUAAGAACACCAAGAACACUCAAGAUUUUUAAGAAAACGAAAUCACACUCUCCCACUUUGCACAACCUGGCUCUGAUACCAUAUACACUUUUGUGUAUUAGAGCAUGAUUCAACCAAAUAGGGAUAAUCAGAUGAAGAGAUUAAAGAGAUUAAGAGAUUAGUGAGAGAAUAAAGAGAGAGACUCAAAACUCCAUUAGAUUAAUUAAUGAGAGAGUUUACAACAUAUAUAGAGUAGGGAUACAUAGAAACGUCCAGGUUCAGUCUAGCUAGGAUCAGAAGCAUGUGUAGUCAAAGAUGUUUCAUUCAAACUAGCCAAUAAGGUUCCUCACAUGCUUGGGUAUCUUGCUUUAUCUUUCCAGCUGGUGCCAGCCUGUCUAAAGCUCUCUAGUCUUGACCAGACCUUAUCCAAACUCCUCCUUGCUUAUCCAGACUCCUCCUGGCGUGUUUCACUCUCCAAAUGUAUGCAAGGUAACUUUCCAAGUCUUUUAACUCAGUUACCACAGUAACAAUAAAUUUACUGUGGUAAAUCUCCAAAGUUACUGCCUGCUCCAAAUCCCUUCCUCUAUCCAUGUAUCAACUCUUCAUCUCCUUAUCUCAACAAUAGGAGUUGGCAAGAAGAAGUUAUCCCACUUUCAAAUCAGGUGAUUCCAGUUUCGCAGUUUGGGAAUAGCACAGCUUCUUCGUCGUUCCAAUCAAACCAGGAUGAAUCACUUUGUGAAAAGCUUGAUUUGGAUACAUAAAGUGGUGGAGAAUCACCAGGAAGUUGAAUAAAUCUCAUAGGAGUUGGCAUGAAGAAGUUAUCCCACUUUCAAAUCAGGUGAUUCCAGUUUCCCAGUUUGGGAAUAGCACAGCUUCUUCGUCGUUCCAAU
rnacentral:lncRNA from 1 species